rnacentral:lncRNA from 1 species
GGUUUGCACCUCUAAUAAUGCUAUGAAUUAUUAAAUCAGAUUGCAACUACUGUACUGCGUCGUCUAUUCUAUACGUUUCAGAGCUAAAGUAAGAUUAAGAACAUUGGUUAAUUAAUGAUCACUAUUUCUACGUUACAUCAACCGCUACCCUUCAGCCCCCACCCUCUCCUGACCCAGGGUUUCUACAUGGGGUCGACCGUGAACGUUUCCAAUAACGUUCGACCCCAAAUCCUCAUCUGUUCCGUCUACGAGCGGUAGGUAACGUCAGCGCAGAGAGGCAGUACAGUUUUUUUUUUUGAGGGGGUAACUCGACUAGGGGGGCACUCAACACCCAUCUCCCCAACCCCAGUCGAAUGAGGUGGAUUUAGGAAGAAAAUAAUCCAUACCUGCGACGUGGAGAUAAAACACAGCAACAAACAGAUACGCAUUUGUAAGUUAUCGCACGGCUCGGGUUUUAGUUCCAUUGUGGCGAUCAACAAAGGGAAUGAUGUGAAAACAGAAUACAGACUUGCAAAGGGCGUGAUUUAUAGCGGUGGUUUGCCCCGUAUAAAAGCGACUACGUUUUUUACACAACUGACAUUUUUGAUUAUUCUUCAGUUUGUUUUUAUUUCAUGGAUGCAAAAUAAGCCUUUUUGGAGGAGAAAUUGAAUUGUAAAUUGUCCCCCAUAUGCCCCCCAUAAACAAACUCGGAGGGGGGGCCGUUUAUUUUUUUUAUUUUUUUUUACAUCUCACGCCACUCAAAGACAUCCUGUUUGAAGACCACAGCCUUCUCUUCGUAGGGCCUCGGCACUCCAGCCAGGUCAAAGGUCGCCCCCGGAGCAAGAUGGCCGCCGGCGGUCCACCCUGCCUCCGUCUGCCGGCCCUGCUGCCCCUCAGCACUCUGUUGCUCUGUAUGCUGCUUACUGGCUUCCAUGCCUUAUGUGAGUGCCACUCUAAUACGUGUGUGUGUGUGUGUGUGUGUGUGUGUGUGUGUGUGUUGUAUGUACUGAGCCAGCACAAUUUACCUUAUAUCUCGUUUUUUUCAGUUCAAAUGUACUCUGUGUAUCACCUCUUUUCUGAAUUUGUUUUUACUUUUUGACCUAUUUAAUAUUUAUCACUUUUCACUUUUAUUUUAUGUCACAUUGUACACUAUAUAUACAAAAGUGAGAGGAUUCGGCUAGGUGUAUAGGUGUAUUGAAUUGGUGUAAGAUGUAUAGAAUCGAGCACACAGCCAUUCAGUCUCCAUAGGAAAACAUUGACAGUAGUAUGGCCUAACUUAAGAGCUCAGUGACUUUCAAGCUCACAGAACGGGACCGCCGAGUGCUGAAGCGUGUCCUCGGUUGCAACACUCACUACUGAGUUCCAAACUGCAUCUUGAAGAAACAUCAGCACAAUAGCUGUUUGUCGGGAGCGUCAUCAAAUGGAUUUCCAUGGCCAAGCAGCCGGACACAAGCCUAAGAUCACCAUGCACAAUGCCAAGCAUCGGCUGGAGUGGUGUAAAGCUCUCCGCCAUUGGACUCUGGAGCAG